GCGGCCACGCUUUUCCUCGGGGCUUCAGAAAUCCAUCCAUUAGUUCCUAUCAGCCUGCACGUCUCGCACGCAGAUGAGAGAUUUGCCUGAAAAUCCCUGUCGGAACACUUUGCAGCUUGAUGGCUUCCUUCAAGUGCAGACUGUAAAUCAGGGAGACUUACUGACUUGGUGAAUCAGCUGAAUGGACAAGGAAGUAGACUCUCGACUGGCAAGAACUAGCGAUCCUUUGUUUCUCAUCACGAAAAGAGUUAUGUGUGCAGAUCCCAACUCAUGUAUCACUUCUCUGCUCAGAACCUGGUUUCCUCAUCUGUAAAGCAGGCUAUGUACUGUCUGCUGAGAGAAGGUUUCAUCUCACAGGGGCUUUAGCCCCACUGAUGGUUUUCUGGCUCAAAGAGGGAACAUCGGGGAAACCUUACAGACCUUAUCACGUGGGCAGCCACUAUAAACUGCAGUUGUGAUUCUCAGCCCUGGCUUCACAUUUAAAUCAUGUGGGGGAGACUUUGGAAAAAAUGUGUGCUGGUACCCCCUUUCCGAGUUAGAAUUGCUACAGGUGCAGCCUGUGCAUCCUGGUUUUAAAAGCUUCUUAGGUUCAGCCGCUGGUUGAGAACCACUUUUUGAGGAAGGAGCACUUGAGGGGUUUCAGGUGAGAAGGACCAAGGUGAACCCCAGGUCUGUCCCUUACUGCUUAUGCAGGGGACCUCCUUCACUUGUGGGUCCUGGUUCCCUCGUGUCUGGCUUUAAUGGAAGAAAGCCCUAAUGGCUGAUGGAGGCCACCGUAGCAAGUAUCCUACACAUUACCUUCUGCUUCACCCUCCGGGAACCUUUGUGAAAAUUCCGUGCAUUUCACAGCCAGGGAAAACCGAGACGCCGAGAGGUCGAGUGACUUGUCUGGGACCUGAGGCAGUGCUGGCUUUGAACUCUCCUGUCUCCGGGCCCUCUCAGUCACCGUGUUCCUAUGUUGUCCACUGAUUGCCUGAAACGCCCCUCCCUCCCUUGCUGGCAGAGAGCCUGUCAGGUUGGGAGGGCCAUUCUCUGGACGAGAAUCGGGCAUUGAGUUAAAAUGUGCAUGCAAAGCAAUGAAUGAGUGCAACAUCCAUUGCACAGUCCAGAAAAGUUUAGGAAAGAGGUUUUGCUGAGCUGGGGUCUCCCGCCCUGCAGAGCCUCAGCCCAUCUCACCACCACCCCUACCCCCCUGGGGCAAGCUCACUUCCAUGUGGAUUCCUAACACGGGACCAGGUAGACUCUCUGGACUGAAAUGAUCCCAGGAGGUUUGUGUCCAGUGGACCACAGUCAGGUGUCUGCCGUGGCUUUCCGGCCCUGCCUUCCAUUCUCCCAGGGCCGAGUGCGUGGACCUGUUCCGAGAGAGCCCUUUUCAGGUGGUGACGUCACAGCAUGGCUUACUGUGCAGCUCCUUUGCCCUAGCCUGGCAGCGAUGGGGGAGCAGGUUGCCAUGGUUACCGUAGACACUGCCGUGGAACUUGCAUGAGGCCCACUGGGCACUGGCCCGGUCUACGUCUGCAGCUCGGCUGUCUGUCUUCCAUGAGUUCCCCUGAAACUUGGUAUUGAAGCCUGACUACCUAUUUAGAGGAGAAGAGCAUGAGUGACGUGGCAUCUUUUGAGGGGAUCUUCCUGACCCAGGGAUCGAACCUGUGUCUCCUGUUGCUCCUGCAUUGUGGGCAGAUUCUUUACCGCUGAGCCACCAGGGAAGCCUUCAGGAACAAUGGCAAAGUGUCUUCCAUUGGUUUUUUAAUUUUCUGAGCCUGCAGUACAGCAUCAGUAUGGUAAGCUAGGACAGCGGUCCUGCCUGCUUGAGGCAGUGGGGAAUGUGGAUCAGAGAGGUUAGCCGCUCAG